rnacentral:rRNA from 1 species
GAACGAACGCUGGCGGCGUGCUUAACACAUGCAAGUCGAACGCGAAAGGGACUUCGGUCCUGAGUAAAGUGGCGCACGGGUGAGUAACGCGUGGAUAAUCUACCCAAUGGUCUGGGAUAACAUUUCGAAAGGGGUGCUAAUACCGGAUAAGACCACGGAGUCUUUGGACUCUGCGGUAAAAGGUGGGGACCUUCGGGCCUACCGCAAUUGGAUGAGUCCGCGUACCAUUAGCUAGUUGGUAGGGUAAAGGCCUACCAAGGCGACGAUGGUUAGCUGGUCUGAGAGGAUGAUCAGCCACACUGGAACUGAGACACGGUCCAGACUCCUACGGGAGGCAGCAGUGGGGAAUUUUGCGCAAUGGGGGAAACCCUGACGCAGCAACGCCGCGUGAGUGAUGAAGGCCUUCGGGUCGUAAAGCUCUGUCAGAGGGGAAGAAAUGCGGGGUGCUAAUAUCACUUCCGCUUGACGGUACCCUCAAAGGAAGCACCGGCUAACUCCGUGCCAGCAGCCGCGGUAAUACGGAGGGUGCGAGCGUUGUUCGGAAUUAUUGGGCGUAAAGCGCGUGUAGGCGGUUUGUUAAGUCUGAUGUGAAAGCCCCGGGCUCAACCUGGGAAGUGCAUUGGAAACUGGCAGACUUGAAUACGGGAGAGGGCAGUGGAAUUCCUAGUGUAGGAGUGAAAUCCGUAGAUAUUAGGAGGAACACCGGUGGCGAAGGCGGCUGCCUGGACCGAUAUUGACGCUGAGACGCGAAAGCGUGGGGAGCAAACAGGAUUAGAUACCCUGGUAGUCCACGCCGUAAACGAUGAGUACUAGGUGUUGCGGGUAUUGACCCCUGCAGUGCCGCAGCUAACGCAUUAAGUACUCCGCCUGGG